AUUGGUGCCUUCGGGAACUCUGACACAGGUGCUGCAUGGCUGUCGUCAGCUCGUGUCGUGAGAUGUUGGGUUAAGUCCCGUAACGAGCGCAACCCUUGUCCUUAGUUACCAGCACGUUAUGGUGGGCACUCUAAGGAGACUGCCGGUGACAAACCGGAGGAAGGUGGGGAUGACGUCAAGUCAUCAUGGCCUUACGGCCUGGGCUACACACGUGCUACAAUGGUCGGUACAAAGGGUUGCCAAGCCGCGAGGUGGAGCUAAUCCCAUAAAACCGAUCGUAGUCCGGAUCGCAGUCUGCAACUCGACUGCGUGAAGUCGGAAUCGCUAGUAAUCGUGAAUCAGAAUGUCACGGUGAAUACGUUCCCGGGCCUU
rnacentral:rRNA from 1 species